UAGGGAAUCUUCCACAAUGGACGCAAGUCUGAUGGAGCAACGCCGCGUGAGUGAAGAAGGCUUUCGGGUCGUAAAACUCUGUUAUUGAAGAAGAACGUGUGUGACAGUAACUGGUCAUGCAGUGACGGUAUUCAAUCAGAAAGUCACGGCUAACUACGUGCCAGCAGCCGCGGUAAUACGUAGGUGGCAAGCGUUGUCCGGAUUUAUUGGGCGUAAAGCGAGUGCAGGCGGUCUUUUAAGUCUGAUGUGAAAGCCUUCGGCUUAACCGAAGAAGGGCAUCGGAAACUGGGAGACUUGAGUGCAGAAGAGGAGAGUGGAACUCCAUGUGUAGCGGUGAAUGCGUAGAUAUAUGGAAGAACACC
rnacentral:rRNA from 1 species